AUACUUACCUGACAGGAGCGAUACCAGGAUCACAAGGGUGGUUUUCCCAGGGUGAGGCUUAUCCACUGCACUCGCAUGUGCUGACCCCUGUGAUUUCCCCAAAUGUGGGAAACUCGACUGCAUAAUUUGUGGUGGAGGGGGGGACUGCGUUCGUGCUCUCCCCUG